GGAGAUAGCUGGUUCUCCCCGAAAUAGCUUUAGGGCUAGCCUCAAGGUGAGAGAUACGGAGGUAGAGCACUGAAUGUCCUAGGGGGUAUUGCCCCUACCGAAGACUAUCAAACUCCGAAUGCCGUCAUCUUAUACUUGGGAGUCAGACUGUGGGUGAUAAGAUUCAUAGUCGAAAGGGCAACAGCCCAGAUCGUCAGCUAAGG
rnacentral:rRNA from 1 species